AGAGUUUGAUCCUGGCUCAGAACGAACGCUGGCGGUGCGCCUAACACAUGCAAGUCGAACGGGGUUGCAGUGUGAAGUUUGCUUCGGCAGGUGGAACGCUGUAACUUAGUGGCGAACGGGUGAGUAACACAUAGGUAACCAACCCUUAGGAUCGGGAUACCCCCGAGAAAUCGGGCUCAAUACCGAAUAUUAUCCCAGGGAAAAAUCUUCUGGGAUGAAAGCUUCGAGCAAUCGUAGCACCUGAGGAUGGGCCUGUGGCCUAUCAGCUAGUUGGUGAGGUAACGGCCCACCAAGGCAAAGACGGGUAGCCGGACUGAGAGGUCGAACGGCCACACUGGAACUGAGACACGGUCCAGACUCCUACGGGAGGCAGCAGUGAGGAAUUUUGCGCAAUGGGGGAAACCCUGACGCAGCAACGCCGCGUGAGUGAUGAAGGCUUUCGGGUCGUAAAGCUCUGUCAAGUGGGAAGAACCUGCCCAGUGCUAAUAUCACAGGGCACUGACGGUACCACUGAAGGAAGCACCGGCUAACUCCGUGCCAGCAGCCGCGGUAAU
rnacentral:rRNA from 1 species